AGCCUCAUUCUAGAUGAGAAUGGACACCAUUGAUCAUGGCGUCCCAAAAUUGUUAAUGUGGCUGUAUUGAGACACAGGUUAUACUUCCAUCACAGUAAAUGUAUUGCAGUGGUGACAAUGAGACCUGUAACAUUU